GGUUGUGUAGUGUAGUGGUUAUCACUCGAGAUUUUGACGCUUUCGUAAUAUUCUCGUAACCCCGGUUCGAGCCCGGGCACGACCU